UACUAUACUAAGUUAUUGUUGUAACUAGAAUAUUAUAAGAUAAAGUCUUCAAAUUCAAAGAAUUUGGCGGUAAUUUAGUCUUUCCAGAGGAAUCUGUUUUUUAAUCGAUAAACCACGAAAAAUCUUACUUAUUUUAUUAAUAUAAAAAGUUUGUAUACCGUCAUUAUCAGAUAAUAUUUAGAGGUUAAAUUAUUAAUCUUUAAAAGUAAUAAGAAAAAUUAGAUCAAGGUGCAGCCUAUAAAUAAGUUAAAAUGGAUUACAAUUAAUUUAAUGUAAAAUGGAAUUUAGUCUGAAAUAGCUAAAGGAAGGAGGAUUUGGUUGUAAAAGAGAUUAACAUGAUAAAAAGAUAUAAGCUCUAAAUUAU
rnacentral:rRNA from 1 species